GUCUACAGCCAUACCACCCUGAAUGCACCUGAUCUCAUCUGAGCUCAGAAGUUAAGCAGGGUCGGGCCUGGUUAGUACUUGGAUGGCAGAAGUAAAUGAAAGCACGAGGGUAAUGAUGGCU
ensembl:rRNA 5S_rRNA 5S ribosomal RNA